rnacentral:rRNA from 1 species
GAUGAACGCUGGCGGCGUGCCUAAUACAUGCAAGUCGAGCGAACGGACGAGAAGCUUGCUUCUCUGAUGUUAGCGGCGGACGGGUGAGUAACACGUGGAUAACCUACCUAUAAGACUGGGAUAACUUCGGGAAACCGUAGCUAAUACCGGAUAAUAUUUUGAACCGCAUGGUUCAAAAGUGAAAGACGGUCUUGCUGUCACUUAUAGAUGGAUCCGCGCUGCAUUAGCUAGUUGGUAAGGUAACGGCUUACCAAGGCAACGAUGCAUAGCCGACCUGAGAGAGUGGUCGGCCACACUGGAACUGGGACACGGUCCAGACUCCUACGGGAGGCAGCAGUAUGGAAUCUUCCGCAAUGGGCGAAAGCCUGACGGAGCAACGCCACGUGAGUGAUGAAGGUCUUCGGAGCGUAAAACUCUGUUAUUAGGGAAGAACAUAUGUGUAAGUAACUGUGCACAUCUUGACGGUACCUAAUCAGAAAGCCACGGCUAACUACGUG